rnacentral:rRNA from 1 species
UACAGAGGGGGCAAGCGUUGUUCGGAAUUACUGGGCGUAAAGGGCGCGUAGGCGGCCUUCUAAGUCGAACGUGAAAUCCCCAGGCUUAACCUGGGAACUGCAUCCGAUACUGGAUGGCUUGAAUCCGGGAGAGGGAUGCAGAAUUCCAGGUGUAGCGGUGAAAUGCGUAGAUAUCUGGAGGAAUACCGGUGGCGAAGGCGGCAUCCUGGACCGGCAUUGACGCUGAUGAGCGAAAGCUAGGGGAGCAAACGGG